rnacentral:rRNA from 1 species
UACGUAGGGGGCAAGCGUUGUCCGGAUUUAUUGGGCGUAAAGAGCGUGUAGGCGGUCAGGUAGGUCCGUUGUGAAAACUCGAGGCUCAACCUCGAGACGCCGAUGGAAACCAUCUGACUAGAGUCCGGAAGAGGCGAGUGGAAUUCCCGGUGUAGCGGUGAAAUGCGCAGAUAUCGGGAGGAACACCAAUUGCGAAGGCAGCUCGCUGGGACGUUACUGACGCUGAGACGCGAAAGCGUGGGGAGCAAACAGG